CUUCAACAUGACAAGCCAUUUUUAUUCUGGUUAGGAAAAGAUCUUCCGUUUAAAAGAAAAACAAUGCCACAAAGGAGACGAUGCUCUUGGGAUUCGGCAACCACAGCAGCUUUCAGAAGCCCCCAAACUCUUCAAUUCAAAGAAAAGCUAAGCUCCUUUCCUCCAGAAAUAAUCCUUUCUUUAGCAGGUGUGUGUGUAAAACAUAUGUCUCUGAAUCCUCAGCUGGUGUAAUUUCAAAGAUGAAGUCAAUAGAACAGUGUUGAUUUAACUAAACUUGAGAUACAGCCUACAGAAUUUAUGGGUAAGGAGUCCCAUACACACAGCUAUGGCUACAGCUGGGCUUCUCGACAGGUGCUGCAGGGCUUGAAGUGGGAGAUGUGAGUGAGGCAUGGAUCAGAGAAGGGGGAACUGCAGGUAGUUCAAGUUAAGAUACUAGCAUCACAGCACAGAAUUCUCUUGGUCCUGGGAAUCAGGUGAUACCAGAGAGCCAAUCCUGUGCAGCUGGCUGCCAGCUGGUUGGCAUUGCCCUGUGAAAGGGUCUUCUUGGUGAUGGUUCCCUCUUUGUGGAAUGCCCUCCCUGGUGAGGCGCAUCUUUCUCCCUCAUUCUUAAUGGGGCCCCUCCUCUGUCAGUGGGUCCUCCCUGCAGAGACAACACUCUAAUCAGCCCUGAGCGUGUGAGAAAAGCUCGUAAAUUAUUGGUAUAGGAACUCAAGAGUGGCUUGUAAGUGCCAUGCGGUCUGAGCUACAGCAACCAGCUUAGACCUCCUUACACGCUGAGUUUCUCUGGUAGACUGGGGGGUUGUGGUGGAUGGGAAGGACAAAGACUUGAUGACCUAGUCCCUCCCAAGGUGAGCUAAGCCUGGCAGGACAGCUUUCUCUAUGGUCUUAACUGUUUCAAGCAUCAAUUAGACAGGUAUGUUGGUUAUAUGAGACCGAUUAUACCCCCAAAAAAGGAGCGUUUGAGAGAGAUGGCAUUGUGCAGGUGAUCUGGGAGACAGUUCCAAGCAUACAGAGCAGUGAGGAAGAAAGAGCAGAGACUUUUCAGGAAGGAGGAGAAUGUUGGAUGGUGGUGGCUUAUGGGUGAGGAGUUCAGAACCCUCCCCAUGACAGCUUGUCUCUCACGGCUUUCGUUUGCCCUUUCUCUUGAGCUGAACUCAUAUACCAAGAGUGUGCUUGGCUGGGAGAAAGUGCUAGCAGUGGGAGGAUGAGCCAUAGGCAGGCUCACUUCAUGUAAACAUCCCUUUUGCUGGUUUUCUCAACACCACAGUCUGUGCGAUCAGGGCAUGACCUGUAUGCAAACAUACGAGCCUGCCGACAUCGCAUCUCAUUUAGCCCUGAGGAGAAAGAGAAGGAAAACACAGCCCAUAGACAGCAAAGGGACAAGUCUCUCUGUAUUGUCAUAUGACACUAUACUUUCAGAGGAUUUCUGCCUUUCUUCUUCAGUAUGCACAAUAUGGGCGUUCUGUACUUGGUAGAAAUGGCACCUUGCCUGCUAGUUCCAUGAGUGAUUUCUUCUAGUGAGUCAGGAGCAUGCUUCAAAAUAUUUGGCUUUGAAGUAACAGUGAUAUAAGGCUCUGGUAUGCAGGAAUCGUUGGAGGAAAUAGCUUAACAUAUUUUAAAAUAUUUAAGGAAGUUUUUUGUUUGUUUAAUGUUUUAUUGUGUUUUUAUAUAUGUUAGAAGCUGCUCAGAGUGGCUGGGGCAACCCAGUCAGAUGGGUGGGGUAGAAAUAACAGUAACAACAACAACACUUUAUGAUGUAAACUUGAACUGUAGAUUCUCCUGUAGUUACACUGCUAGGCACUUAUAUGCCAGUAGUGAAUGGCUUUCUUCCUUUCUUUUCCAAUACUGCUUUAAUUGAUAGAUCAACUGCUUCUCUCUGCCCCCCCCCCCGGCAACGCCAGCCACACACAGAACUGGAAUUCAGGGAGUUGAACCAUUAAAAACAUGGGGAUGGUUCCGAAUCGUUAUUUAUAUUAUUUAUUUUUUUAACAAACUCCCUGAUUUGGUUUCUGUUUAGACAUUUCGAACUGGUUUUGAACCAGUUCAGAGACACUUCUUGCACACUGACAUUAUAAAACUCUUAGGCUGUGAUCCAAACUCCCCCCUUAUGUAGGGGCUAUGGGGGGUUUGGAAUGAGUGGAAGCAUCUCUCUGCUCACGUCUGCCAGUUCAGCAAGCCUCCCACUGUCUGUUGAAUUGGUGGGUGAGUGGAAGAUCCACCAGUGAUGUGCCCGCCAGAACAGCCCAGUUGACAGCUGCGAAAUGGAGUGUUCUGAGAAUGGGCCAGGGCUGAGACAGCCUGGAAUCCACUGGAUCCUAUAUUGCUGCUCUCAGGGAUUGGGCCUGAACUGCCUCCCCCCCGGCAACCUUCCAUUGUUGCCACAAAGAAUUAGGUAAGCUUGCCUUUAAAUGCAAACCGAAUCAUGAUUUCUCCAUUUCCUAGUUGUGAUAAAGAGGGGUAUUGUGGGUGUGCCUCUAUCAUUACGAGUUCAUUGGUUCCCUCUAUUUGCAGGUAUCAUGCUGGGGUCAUAAGUCAGCGUAAUCCUUGAAUGGUGGACAGUGGGAGUUUGCAGAGACAACUGCGGCCUGCCUUGUUUUCCAGCUGGGUUUUUUUACAUCUUCUCAUUGCACAUCUUGGACACGAUGGCGUGAAAACGUAAGUAGCAAUAGCCAUCAGCUUAGAUGACAUUGAAAAACCUUUGUUAGACCUUCAUAGGCAAAUGGAGACUGCACACCCAGCCCCAGUGGACCUCUGAGGGUCAGAAAGAAAAAAGGGGAUAGUGAUCAUUCCCUUCCUGUGAAUUCUGAAGGCAACUAGCUGGCUGCUUCUGGAAAUGGGAUGCUGUACUUGACAGAUUGUGGUCUUUUCCAGCAGGGGAAUUCUCUCGUUUCUAUUUUCAAUUUCAAUGAAAUUGAAAAUUUCACCAGAGAAACCAUGCCAUUAGUUCCCUAGCAACCACCCACAGCCGACUUUCUGCUUCUGGGGUCAUCAGAAUGAGGUUUCCCACAGACCGAGACUCAUUACCACAAAGGAUAACAUGGCCUUCCUUUACGCAUUAUUAACAACUGUAUAAAAACAGAAAGGUGCAUCUAAAGGGCUUUUUAAUAUAAAGAAAAUAAUGAUUAGACUACUGUUCAUCUUCCACUUGUAAUCCACGCAUUGAAUGUUUCAAUGACAGAAACAGAAACUUGUUAUGCCCUUUGUUAUGCCAUCCAUCCAAGUCCUGGGGACAAGAGGUCUUCAUAGGAUCUUCUUUUGGGCAUUCACAGUCAACCAAGACAGAAGUACUGUUCUUGGGGGACAGGGGGCGGGUGGGCGUGGGGGACUCCCUGGUCCUGAAUGGGGUAACUGUGCCCCUGAAGGACCAGGUGCGCAGCCUGGGAGUCAUUCUGGACUCACAGCUGUCCAUGGAGGCACAGGUUAAUUCUGUGUCCAGGGUGGCUGUUUACCAGCUCCACCUGGUACGCAGGCUAAGACCCUACCUGCCCGCGGACUGUCUCACCAGAG